AACUGUGGUUAAAGCGACAUCUUUGCAGGACUCUCGGUGUCUUUUACACCUGUGCCCCCGGUCUUGGCGGCCUGGAUCUGCACUUCACUUCUGAGUGGCACGAAAAAAAAAAGCAAUCCCCAAACAAACAAGACCCUUAAACCUCCCCGUGCGUUCGUUUAGGCAGCGAACAUCCUUGAACGCGUCCUUUUCUUCUUCUGGGGAUUGUGUUUGUCCUCUAUGGCAGACACAGCAAAACUAGGUCCUGCACCGAGGAAGAAAGCAGAACAAAGACUGCCACCUUGCGCUCAAGGAAGUUAACACGGUUGCCUUUUCAAUUCCGUUUUGGAGGACACUUCCUAUGAGUCACCGAAUUUUUGACCAAGACACAACCUACAGCUGCGUUUUUCAGAUCUUUCCCCAGUGUGAAUUGGGGACAGGUCUUCAAAAGAAGAACAAUAAACCAGGCGGCUGCAGAGCCAGUGACUCAGUUCUGAUUCCUCCCUCCCAAAGAGACAGAAGCCCAUGUGGACUGGGACCCCGAAAUAUCGUCUAAUUUUAAUUUGUGGACUCUCUUCGUGGGGUUCUAGGAUA